rnacentral:rRNA from 1 species
CACUCCUGCGGGAGGCAGCAGUGGGGAAUUUUGGACAAUGGGCGAAAGCCUGAUCCAGCAAUGCCGCGUGAGUGAAGAAGGCCUUCGGGUUGUAAAGCUCUUUUGUCAGGGAAGAAACGGUGAAAGCUAAUAUCUUUUGCUAAUGACGGUACCUGAAGAAUAAGCACCGGCUAACUACGUGCCAGCAGCCGCGGUAAUACGUAGGGUGCAAGCGUUAAUCGGAAUUACUGGGCGUAAAGCGUGCGCAGGCGGUUUUGUAAGUCUGAUGUGAAAUCCCCGGGCUCAACCUGGGAAUUGCAUUGGAGACUGCAAGGCUAGAAUCUGGCAGAGGGGGGUAGAAUUCCACGUGUAGCAGUGAAAUGCGUAGAUAUGUGGAGGAACACCGAUGGCGAAGGCAGCCCCCUGGGUCAAGAUUGACGCUCAUGCACGAAAGCGUGGGGAGCAAACAGGAUUAGAAACCCGGGUAGUCCCAUGA